AUGGAGGCUUUAAGAGCAGUCUCAGCGGAGCAUCUGGGUCUCUCCACAGUGCAGCCAUGCUGGUCCGAUGAAAUGGAAGCAUCCGUAUAUUGGGAAGAUGCAAUCUGGUUUCUUAUUUCACUGGUCCUCAAGAGAGAUCUCAAGAUAGCAGUGAACGUUCUCCCCAUCAAGCCUGUGUGUGCCAACUCUGUACUUCCUUUUUUAAUUUUGGAGACACCUCUGCUACAUUCAAAGCUGAAUUUUCUCUGAAGGUUCUUGUCUGAUUCACCUGAACUUUCUCAAAAGCAGGUAAUUAAAAUGCUUAGUUCUAAGAAUUAGCUGUCUCUGGUCAAAUGAAUGAUGAUCUACUGAAAUGCUGCUUACCCAAAACCCAAGACCAUGGCUAUCUGCAUUUAAAA
rnacentral:lncRNA from 1 species